ACGUACAUAGCAACGCCGUUAGCCGAUUAGGUCUAUUCUGCUACUAAUGCGCUUGCUAAUAGCCACUCUAUGACUGCCACUAAUGCGCCUGGACAAUUUACGACAUCAACACCAACAGCUAUCAACAGACCAAACAGAUAUCCAGACAAGGAUGUGGUGAAGAGUCUUUUCCAGACAAAAACAAGGGCCAACUUUUGUGUGAGCCUUCUUUGCUGCAUUUAUCCCAAUAAAAAUGGCCUAACCAAUACCAAUGUUAAUGGUUCAAAUACAAAAAGGCUGCUAAACAUUAGUGUAGUGAACUAUCUGAAAGACACAUACUUUCACUAUUAUAAGGAAUGGAAAAAGUGGAAGGUAAGGACAAGGAAUGGAAAAAGGGCACUAAGUCAUUAGAGAGUUUUAGAUCGGGGAUUUUUUCGCUCAACUGCAAACUUCAAACUUCAAAAUACAGCUGGGACAGCUUYUAGCGGUAAGUGAAUUACUUCAAGGUUUUUAUGCUUAUUUGUUUCACAAAACUAAGUAUUAAGCAGCUUUUUUUGUUUUCACACAACUGUUGUUUUAGAAUAUCGACAUAUUUUGAAAAACACACGAAAUGAUGUAUUGAUUUGGUUCAUAUAAGGAGGUAACUUUGUAAAGACAAUUAACAUAAACAUGGCGGAUUCAUAGCUCAAAUGRGAACAGCAGUACAAAAACACAAUUUUGCUUCAUUUUGAGGUCUGCUUGUUUUCUUUUAAGAUGGCACCCUUUAGAUAGCCUUCUCUCUUUACUGACACCAUGUUGGCAAAGGAAGCUGCGGCCAAAAAAACAAAUUGCCCACAAGAUUAGGAAAACAUUGCUAUCUCAGUGACUUCUUCUCUACUGAUAAGAAAGCCAUACAGCUCACUGGAAGAGCAUGCCGAGAAAGGCUUGACCGCCUUAUUAAAAAGCACAAAGAAGAGGACAAUGCUUCUCUGAAAAGAUCUAGAACUGAAGAAGAAUUUCAAGAGUUACAGAGACUUUUAGGAGACUGAAAUACAGGAUUGGGAAGUCAUUGCUAAAAAAAGGAAGAAGAAAACAAAAAGAAAAAGGCUGAAAGUGAUAAAAAGAAAGGCCUUGAAAUGCGAGCCGCUGCCUUAACUGCCAUGAAAAAAAGAAAAGCUGAAGCAAACAAAUCAGGAAAUGAUGACAUCAGUAGCAGCUCAGGUGAUGAUGAUGAUGAUGAAAAUGACGAUGACUUCAAUGACCAUGACAUUUUUAGUGCUGGGACUUCAAAAAGUAAAAAAAAACAAAAACAAACAAACAAACAAAAGGUUAGAAAGCUAAUUGAUGUUGUUCUCUGAUUUUAUUUCAAAUGUCUAAGUAGUUUUUCACUCAAAGAGCUUCAGAGAUGGAGCUAGAGCUUCAAAAACAAAAAUUUUAAGAAGAAGCUAAAGAAAGGGAAGCAAAGUUUUUGCUAGAAAUCGAAGAAAGCAAAAUGAUGAUUAAUUUGAUGAAAGAAAAGCAUUAAUUCUUAAAA